UACGUAGGGUGCGAGCGUUAAUCGGAAUUACUGGGCGUAAAGCGUGCGCAGGCGGUUCGUUGUGUCGGUGGUGAAAGCCCCGGGCUUAACCUGGGAAUGGCCAUGGAAACUGGCGAACUGGAGUGUGGCAGAGGGGGGUGGAAUUCCGCGUGUAGCAGUGAAAUGCGUAGAUAUCGGGAGGAACAUCAGUGGCGAAGGCGGCCUUCUGGUCCAGUACUGACACUCAAGUGCGAAAGCGUGGGGAGCAAACAGG
rnacentral:rRNA from 1 species